rnacentral:rRNA from 1 species
GAUGAACGCUGGCGGCGUGCCUAAUACAUGCAAGUCGAGCGGUAAGGCCCUUCGGGGUACACGAGCGGCGGACGGCUGAGUAACACGUAGGAACGUACCCCAAACUGAGGGAUAAGCACCAGAAAUGGUGUCUAAUACCGCAGGUGGCCUUCGGGCUAAAGCUCCGGCGGUUUGGGAACGGCCUGCGUCCGAUUAGCUAGUUGGUAGUGUAAUGGACUACCAAGGCGACGAUCGGUAGCUGGUCUGAGAGGAUGAUCAGCCAGACUGGGACUGAGACACGGCCCAGACUCCUACGGGAGGCAGCAGUAGGGAAUUUUCCACAAUGGGGGCAACCCUGAUGGAGCAACGCCGCGUGCAGGAUGAAGGCCUUCGGAUUGUAAACUGCUUUUAUCUGUGACGAUUAUGACGGUAGCAGAUGAAUAAGGACCUGCUAACUACGCGCCAGCCGCCGCCGUAA